rnacentral:misc_RNA from 1 species
GAAAAAUAAUAUUAAAUUAUGUGGACAAAUUAACCUUACAAUCUUCUACAGCCCACCCCACCACAACAACUGUAAAACUCCACCCACUGCCCAAAUCCUUUACAUUACAAGUCUAGAAACUCCCCAUUGUUCGCAUCAUCCAGCAAAAUGGCAGCAGCUGCUCCCCCGCCUCCUCCAUCCCCUGCCCCGGAGGCUCCCACCGGCCUCCCU